AGUGAACGCUGGCGGUAGGCCUAACACAUGCAAGUCGAACGGCAGCACAGUAAGAGCUUGCUCUUACGGGUGGCGAGUGGCGGACGGGUGAGGAAUACAUCGGAAUCUACUUUUUCGUGGGGGAUAACGUAGGGAAACUUACGCUAAUACCGCAUACGACCUACGGGUGAAAGCAGGGGAUCUUCGGACCUUGCGCGAUUGAAUGAGCCGAUGUCGGAUUAGCUAGUUGGCGGGGUAAAGGCCCACCAAGGCGACGAUCCGCAGCUGGUCUGAGAGGAUGAUCAGCCACACUGGAACUGAGACACGGCCCAGACUCCUACGGGAGGCAGCAGUGGGGAAUAUUGGACAAUGGGCGCAAGCCUGAUCCAGCCAUACCGCGUGGGUGAAGAAGGCCUUCGGGUUGUAAAGCCCUUUUGUUGGGAAAGAAAAGCAGCAGGUUAAUACCCCGCUGUUCUGACGGUACCCAAAGGAUAAGCACCGGCUAACUUCGUG
rnacentral:rRNA from 1 species